AAAGAAAUUACAGGAGGUGGUGGUGCAUGCCUUUAAACCCAGCAGGCAGAGGCAGAAGUAUCUCAGCUUUGAAGUUCUUAGGAAUUGCUUUUUUGGCACAGUUUAUCUGCUUUGUCCCGAGUGGCCUUGGAGACCUCAUCAUUUCGCUCCAGUAAUGAUCAUUUUUGGCUCUUCAAGACAAGGAGAAUGUCUUUGGUUUCACUUUGAAGCUUGCUAGAGAAAAAAAUAUCCCGGGACCCUUAUCAUGAGGAUGUGAAGAGUCCUUUGUGGCAGCGACUCCCUGUAACUUAGUAACAUCUGAUGAAGUGGUCCAUUUGCAGAGGGUGCUGAUGGAGGAGACGCCUCAUGUGUUGUGCAGGAAAGAGUUCCUGCUGCCUCCUCGAACUUCAGCUUCACCUGCCUCCAGGGGCUUGGGAAAUGCUUUCUUCUUAGUAAGGCCAGGAACAGAGCUGAAAGCAGGGUUUUUUUUUUUUUCCCCUUCCCUCCCCAUAGUCAUCUUUGUCACAACCACAAGGUGUAUAGGAGCUCGCCAAGCCGCCUGCCUGCCACUUAGUGACCCCCAUAGAGGGGUUUAUUCAAAUCAACUUUACCGGUUUGGUUUUUCUGGCUGGUUUUCUUUUUCUUCCUUUGGUGCUGAGAUUUGAACUCAAGCCCAACCUCAUGCAUGCUGGGCAAAUACUCCACCAUGGAGUCAUACCCCUAGCUUGCUGUAUUUUUAUAACCCUGGGCUAGAGGGUGGAUCGUACCAACACUUGUGAACUCAAAAAGCUCUCUCUAGUUAAACAUCUCAACAAUGGC
rnacentral:lncRNA from 1 species